CUUGACUUUCCUGACCAAUCGUAGAAGAGUCUCCUUUGAAAUUGCAGGAGAAUUAACGAAUCAGAGAGCGUGCCAGUCGGGGUCCAAGCCGCCCUUACCAGUUAACUAGGUCGGCCCCCUUUAAGCCUCUGUCUCAGUUAGCGUCGCUCCUGCGGGGACGCGUCCACUGUGGAGGCCAGUUCGUUCUCGCCGGAGAAGGCCCUGGUCUGCCUCUCUGGCCUCUCCGCAGUCUCGGCGGCUACCUAUCGAUUUACCUUGGGGCGCCGCCGCCAAGAUUUUUCUCAAGGUUUGGGGGGAGGAUUCUUCUAAAAGUUUGGAUCCAGCAUCUACUGCUGUUG
ensembl:lncRNA